UACGUAGGUGGCAAGCGUUGUCCGGAUUUACUGGGCGUAAAGAGCGCGCAGGCGGUUGAUUAAGUCGAAUGUGAAAGCCCCCGGCUUAACUGGGGAGGGUCAUUCGAUACUGCUCGGCUCGAAGACAGGAGAGGGAAGUGGAAUUCCCGGUGUAGUGGUGAAAUGCGUAGAUAUCGGGAGGAACACCAGUGGCGAAGGCGACUUUCUGGCCUGUUCUUGACGCUGAGGCGCGAAAGCUAGGGGAGCAAACGGG
rnacentral:rRNA from 1 species